rnacentral:snRNA from 1 species
AUACUCACCUGGCAGAGGAGAUACCAUGGGUGGUUUUCCCAGGGCAAGAUUUAUCCAUUGUGUUCCGGAUGUGCUGACCCCUGCAAUUUCCCCAGGUGUUGGAAACUCAACUGCAUAAUUUGUGGUGGUGGUGGUGGGGGGGACUGUGUUUGUACUCUCCCUUG